GACGAACGCUGGCGGCGUGCUUAACACAUGCAAGUCGAACGAUGAACCGGUUUCGGCCGGGGAUUAGUGGCGAACGGGUGAGUAACACGUGGGCAAUCUGCCCUGCACUCUGGGAUAAGCCCGGGAAACUGGGUCUAAUACCGGAUACGACACUCCGAGGCAUCUUGGGGUGUGGAAAGUUCCGGCGGUGCAGGAUGAGCCCGCGGCCUAUCAGCUUGUUGGUGGGGUAAUGGCCUACCAAGGCGACGACGGGUAGCCGGCCUGAGAGGGUGACCGGCCACACUGGGACUGAGACACGGCCCAGACUCCUACGGGAGGCAGCAGUGGGGAAUAUUGCACAAUGGGCGAAAGCCUGAUGCAGCGACGCCGCGUGAGGGAUGACGGCCUUCGGGUUGUAAACCUCUUUCAGCAGGGAAGAAGCGAAAGUGACGGCACCUGCAGAAGAAGCACCGGCUAACUACGUG
rnacentral:rRNA from 1 species